UAGCGAAUCUUGAGGUGCUUGCACCUCUUGGUUAGCGGCGGACGGGUGAGUAACACGUGGGCAACCUGCCUGUAAGACUGGGAUAACACCGGGAAACCGGUGCUAAUACCGGAUAAUCCUUUUCCUCUCAUGAGGGAAAGCUGAAAGUCGGUUUACGCUGACACUUACAGAUGGGCCCGCGGCGCAUUAGCUAGUUGGUGAGGUAACGGCUCACCAAGGCGACGAUGCGUAGCCGACCUGAGAGGGUGAUCGGCCACACUGGGACUGAGACACGGCCCAGACUCCUACGGGAGGCAGCAGUAGGGAAUCUUCCGCAAUGGACGAAAGUCUGACGGAGCAACGCCGCGUGAGCGAUGAAGGCCUUCGGGUCGUAAAGCUCUGUUGUUAGGGAAGAACAAGUACCGGAGUAACUGCCGGUACCUUGACGGUACCUAACCAGAAAGCCACGGCUAACUACGUGCCAGCAGCCGCGGUAAUACGUAGGUGGCAAGCGUUGUCCGGAAUUAUUGGGCGUAAAGCGCGCGCAGGCGGUCCUUUAAGUCUGAUGUGAAAGCCCCCGGCUCAACCGUGGAGGGUCAUUGGAAACUGGGGGGACUUGAGUACAGAAGAAGGAAAGCGGAAUUCCACGUUGUAGCGGUG
rnacentral:rRNA from 2 species